AUCACUUCUCUGCCUUUUGGCUAAAAUCAAGUUUAGUAUCUGUUCUUACCCAUAGCAUGUGAUCAACAAUGACUCAGCUUGAUGUCAGAGACAAGCAUGACUUACCUGGUCAUAUGUGUUGCCUCGAUUGUACUUGGUAGGUAAGAUGCUUU
ensembl:snRNA U2 U2 spliceosomal RNA